UAGGGAAUCUUCGGCAAUGGACGAAAGUCUGACCGAGCAACGCCGCGUGAGUGAAGAAGGUUUUCGGAUCGUAAAACUCUGUUGGUAGAGAAGAACGUUGGUGAGAGUGGAAAGCUCAUCAAGUGACGGUAACUACCCAGAGAGGGACGGCUAACUACGUACCAG
rnacentral:rRNA from 1 species